GACCCAACCCAGGUCUGCUGACUCCUAGUCCAGUGCUUGUGAUGGCCAUUGGGCCCUGAACUAGGGGCCUGGAGGCCUGGGUUUGAUUAUC
rnacentral:pre_miRNA from 1 species